CAAGGUCAGGCCGCCUGCUCCAAGCGGGCGGACCGGCAAAUCCUAUCCCAUUCUCCACUGUGUGCACUCAUUGACACUUGCUUUGGCAGACUUCCUCCGAAGGAGGCGGGGGGCGUGAGGGCCCCAAGGCCUGCCAGAGUUUUUUUUAAAAAACCAUAGCCUGGUCGCUUGUCUGAAUGUCACCGAUAAAAUCAAAUA
rnacentral:misc_RNA from 1 species